rnacentral:rRNA from 1 species
UACAGAGGUCUCAAGCGUUGUUCGGAUUCAUUGGGCGUAAAGGGUGCGUAGGCGGCGUGGUAAGUCGGAUGUGAAAUCUCGGAGCUUAACUCCGAAACUGCAUUCGAUACUGCCGUGCUUGAGGACUGGAGAGGAGACUGGAAUUCAUGGUGUAGCAGUGAAAUGCGUAGAGAUCAUGAGGAAGACCAGUGGCGAAGGCGGGUCUCUGGACAGUUCCUGACACUGAGGCACGAAGGCCAGGGGAGCAAACGGG